CUCUCGCUCCACUCACAUCUUCAGUCUUGCUGUCCUGCUCCUGCAGCGCUUUCUGGAGCUCCUCGAUCUGAGAACGCAGCUCUGAGAUCUGCUGCUGGUUCAACCUGGAAAACAGACGAGGAGAGGGAAGGGACACGGAGACAGAUUAGGAAGAGAAAGAGCAUAAAAGCAACACGGUGGAGAGAGAUGGUUGAAGAUAAACAUGAGAGAAGGUGAAAUGUAAUGUUGUUGAGAUGCGUCUCUCUCUGCCCGGCCAGUCCCUGCUUGGCUCUACUGAGCAUGCUCCCUCCCCUCCUCUCCUCCUGUUACUGUUGCUGAGGAUGCUUCCCACACCCUGGGCCUGGUGUUGUAAUACACACGCAAAGUCCACCCACAUGUCCACAUGCCCACCGGCAUGUAAACACACACAUAUACACACAGUCAAGGGACAAUCUGGCUUUCUGCUGUCCGUCCUCCAGUGCAGCCCACACAGCUCCGCUGAGCACACAGUCCAGAGGGGUGUUCCUGCUGCGCUGAGCCUCCUCCAGCUCGGCCUGCACCUCCACCAGCUUCUGCCUGUACGACUCCUCCUGGACGCACAGCAUCUUGUUUUCACUCUGCAGACGCACCACCGUCUCCCUGCCGCAGACCGAGCGCUGUUACAACUCACCAGCUCCACUGAGACCCCUCUGUUGGACCUGUGCACACCUCAGCUCGUCGUUCGUCUCCCGGAGCGUGUCCCUCUCCGAGAUCAGACGCUGAGGAAACCAAGCACAACACGAACACGUCUCACUUUGGUUUGUACGUUAAGAGAAUUGAACUAAAAUCACACUUGAAGCGGAUUACCCCCCCGAGAGUCAUUUCAGAAUUGAUUUGAAGAUAUUGUUAAUUUCUCUCUUUCUUUUAUUGCCUUGUGAAUCAGAUUUCAUAAAAGUGGAUUCUUGUAAAACCCAUUUCUUUAUUAGUCUUAAUUAUUUUAUUCCAUUUUAUUUAAUUUGUUUUAAUAAUGAUUGGUUAACAUUUCAACAGUGCUUUUUGCUUAUAUCAAUUCAUCUUGUGAAGAACUUUGCUAAUUUGUUUUGAAAAUUGCUCCAUAAAUAGUUUAUUACUAUUAUUUAUUUGUUUACGAUUCACUUUACAACAUAUUCCAGGAUCCUGCUCCAGGGAUCCAGACGUGGACACUGUUUUGAUGCGAGUACGGAUGAAGUGAAUGUAAAGGCGGAUAUGUCAGUACACGUCGGUACAGUGUGUAUUUCUUAAUUACUCCCACAAGUAAGCGAGGACAUUAAUCACUGCUGUCAGAUUGCAGAAGGUGCUAGAACUGACACUGGACGUGGGAGUCCACUGAAGAAUAGUACGAUAUUUGCCUGGCAACAGCUCCUCCAGGCAGCAGCGUGCGUACUGUAAUCAUCACAACAAGACCUAGUGUAUGUCUGGACCUGGUGAACCUGGUGAAGCCGAGGACGCAAUCGAAAAACUCGUGUGAGCUUUGUAAACAGCAACUUCCAAAAGUGAGGAAAGUAGCUAAAGCUGGAAAUGUCUCGGAAGGUCAGCAGAUGAUGCAAAAUACAAUAAUCGGCGAAUAAUCGGAACAAAUAGAAUAAUGAAAUGCAUCGAACUCAAUGUGGAAGGUUUCUGUGCGUGACGAUUUUUAUUAAAUGACGGAUUAAGAUCUUUAGGCUUCAUGUCAACCAGCAGUUUCCAAGCUGCACCACACAAUUUGUUGUCGGCCAGAAGUUCUAGAUUUGCUGCUUGAUGCUUUAAAAAAAGUCACUAAAGGGUCUCAGGCUAUCGAAGAUGCUAAAUUGGUCAACAACUGUUAUCUCUAAGGACGACCUUGCUGUUGUGCUCUCACCAACAAAUGGAGAUCCACACAAGGAGAUUGAAAUAAAAACCAAAUCACUGCUUGUGAAGUAAAAGCGGCACGAGCACGUUUUUUCCUCCCAUUCACAACUUAACUUUUACUUCCUGACGUUCUUCCAACUCACUUCUUUCUCUUUCAGCUGUGCGUCAUACUUGUCGUGAAGGUUCUUGUACUCAAACUGCCACUUCUCAGCUUUCAUGGCCUCCGCGGAGUGCUUGGUGUGAAGCUCAUGAACCUGCAAGUCAGAGAGCAUAGCAACAGUCUGUGUUGGCAAGAGCGCUCUAUAAAAACUGCAAACUUUUCCACAACACGUGCCGAAGCCAAGUGAUGUGUUCAACUUGGAGAUCAACACAAGGAGCAAGCCUCGCUCUCCUUGCCUGUCGCUUGUAGAUGUCCAGCUGGUUGCGGACGGCGUUCGCUCGGCGGAGCUCCUCCUCCAGCUCGCAGGUGCGCUGCAUGUACACGGUGUUGCGCUCCUCCAGGAGGCGCACCUGUCUGCGCAGGUCUCCCAGAUCCUCCAGCUUCCUCUUGUACGUCUCCACCAGCGCUUCGAGCUGGUUCACCCGGUCCGACGAAUGCCUGAGGGGGGGGAAGAUGUGUAGGAAGUGUUGAGCGCCGACACAGGAAUAUGACUUUUAGUCAAACACAAUACAUCCGUGUGGUUAUGUACUUAACUGCUGAAAAGCAACGACUGACGCAAGCCAGCGUCAAUGCAUAAAAUUCAUAUUAUCAACACAGAUGUCAGAGAGAGGAGCUAAUGGACGUCUGUGUGUGGGCAGUGUGGGAGUUGUUUCUGUGAGUGUAAAACGAUAAUAAAUGAACUGCUGCUUGUGAUAACCUCCA